rnacentral:rRNA from 1 species
UACGUAGGGUGCGAGCGUUAAUCGGAAUUACGGGGCGUAAAGCGUGCGCAGGCGGCGCGUUAAGACAGGUGUGAAAGCCCCGAGCUUAACUUGGGAAUUGCGCUUGUGACUGGCGUGCUGGAGUGUGGCAGAGGGAGGUGGAAUUCCACGUGUAGCAGUGAAAUGCGUAGAGAUGUGGAGGAACACCGAUGGCGAAGGCAGCCUCCUGGGCCAGCACUGACGCUCAUGCACGAAAGCGUGGGGAGCAAACAGG